UGGGAGAACAAGAGGCAGGCCCCACUCU
rnacentral:piRNA from 1 species